UACGUAGGGCGCAAGCGUUGUCCGGAUUCACUGGGUGUAAAGGGUGCGCAGGCGGGAAAGUAAGUUAGAGGUGAAAUCUCACAGCUCAACUGUGAAACUGCCUUUGAUACUGCUUUUCUUGAGUUAGGGAGAGGUUGAUGGAAUUCCAGGUGUAGCGGUGAAAUGCGUAGAUAUCUGGAAGAACACCGGUGGCGAAGGCGGUCAACUGGCCCUAAACUGACGCUCAGGCACGAAAGCGUGGGGAUCAAACAGGAUUAGAUACCCUGGUAGUCCACGCCCUAAACGAUGAAUACUUGGUGUUGGCCUUUUUUGGUCAGUGCCGAAGGUAACCUGAUAAGUAUUCCACCUGGGGAGUACGCUCGCAAGGGUGAA
rnacentral:rRNA from 1 species